UUCUUUUAAGCUUCUCUCGUUAACACCCUCGUUAGUAAAGAAGAACUCUCUUGGUUUCUUCGAUGAUAACAAAGUCUAGUAGAGAAGAUGAAUUAGAAAUCUUCUCUCUACUAUCACGUUAGAAAUCUUCUCUCUACUAUCACGCUAUCUUAUUUAUAGGUAAUUUACGUCCAAAUCUCAAUCAAGAUUACCUCUAAUCACAUCCUAUAAGGCUCUCCAAGUGUCCUAGUUACUGACACGUUGCCUCCACAAGGAUGUCAGGUGACUUAAACGUAUCCUACAAGUCAUCGUACUUACUUUAGUAACGACACUAAAAACAC
rnacentral:lncRNA from 1 species